rnacentral:rRNA from 1 species
ACAGACCUGAGUGCGGCAGGACUACCCGCUAAACUUAAGCAUAUCAAUAAGCGGGAGGA